rnacentral:lncRNA from 1 species
UACGAUCAAAAUGACUACAAAUAUUCAUAGAUUCAUGCCCUAUUUGGCAUGAAACACAAGGAAAGGCGAAAACCCUAAAACCCCAACUUUCAUGAUAAAAAAAAACGAAAUUUCUCCACCAUUUAAUACAUGAAAAGCCUGCAAAAAAUCUGUAUAAAGCCUGCAUACUCGAUCACAAGGCAAAAAAAACAAAAAAAAUGAUAAAAAAAUGACAAAUUUUGAAGAAUCCCGUGAAGAACACUGUGCAGUCUGUGUUCUUCACGGGACUCGCCGAUUCCGUACAGUGAAUCGACAAGUCACUGUACAGAAUCGCCCGAUUCUCUCUAGCACCGAGCGAUUCUGUGUUUUUUGACCGAUUUGACACAUCCAGUAUCAAUUUUCAGGUCGAACAGGGCGAGUCCGAUUUGACUCGACGUUUUUUUAAUCACUGGGUGAGAGAAAGUGAGUGAAACGUAUGCCUACAACGAAAAUAAAGAAAGGCGAAACUAUCGCAAUCCUACAACGAAAGGAAAAAGACGAAAAAGAAGAAAAGGGAAAUGGCUUUCGUUCAUGGGUUUUUUCCUCGUGGGAGAAAGUGCAGGGGAUGGAAACCACAGGAGAGUAGAGGGCAGCAAGUGAAGGUGGAAGGGAGAGAAUGGGGGUCAAGCAAAGGUUGCAGCUGGUGGAGGAGAAGACUUGGUGGAGUGAGGAGAGAUGAGGUUGUGAGUGGCAGAGAUGGCGAUUCAGCUUCAGCCUGGAAUAGCAGGCUGAGAGGAAGGAGGCAGAUAAAGAGAGCGGCAAUGGCAGAUAUGGUGUCGCCUGGUUCAGGCGGGUGAAGUGAAGGUUGAGAUGGGAGCAAAAGAGGGACAGAGACAGCCAACAGGAGGUGGCGCAGAUGACUGAGAUUGGGCUAAGAAUGGUGGAAUUGGAUGACAGAUAGGUGGCUUCAACAGAGGUAGGGGGCAGCAGCUUAGAUGGGGCAAAGAGAUAGAGGUGAGAAAGUUGUCGUUGGCGGAGCAGCAAGGUGAAGGAAAUUACAGGUGGUGGAUGUGGCGAUUGAGAGAAGUGGAGAUGGAGGAAGAGGCGGAUGGGCUGCAUGCGGAGGAUGGAAGAGAAUAGCGGUGAAAGAAUUGCAAGAAUGGAGUAUGGCAGUAAUUGGGGAGGAGAGUGGGAGAGCUUGGGUUAAGAGAAGAUGGAAAGGCUACGUGAAUAGGUGGGUGGUUAUGGUGGUGAAAGAUGGUUGAGGGCAGAGAGCUAGAGAGAGAGAGCAGUGGCAGAAGCGGAGACCGUGAUGCUGGCAGCCGAGAGAGAAGGGCUGAGGUGCAGCUGAGCAAGAGCGAGAAAGGAAUGGUGUAGCAGGGAUUUGCAGCCAGCUCCGGUUGUGGUGUGGAGUUUACGCACGGCGGUGGAUGGUGGCUUGCACACACGGUGUUGGGUGGUAGUAGGGGAGGACAGUUGCGCACGACGAUGGGGGAGGACAGGUUGUACACGGUAUUGGGGUUUGUUGCGCGCGCGGCGAGAAUAUGGGGUUUGUUGCUCGCACGGCGGUAGGUAAGAAAAAGCUUAGGGAAUGGUAAUCGUGGGAGACCACAUAACGUGAGUGGAAAAAUGGGAACGUGAGGGUUCACCAAAAAGGGUGAUGUGAGUGAAUUCCGAAAAAAAGAGAAGAAAGGGAAACAGAGGGACUACCAGAAAAAGAAGGGACAUGUAAGCUCGAGGGUGUACAAAAAGAAAAUAGUCAUGCAGGAGAUAAAAGAAAAAGAAAAGAGAGAAAUAGUGGUCAUGUUGGACCACAAGGAAAGAGUAGGAAAGUUUGUGGUCGUGAGGGACCAUAGGGAGGAUAGAAGAGAGAGAUCGUGGUCAAGCGAGACCACAAGAGGAAAAAAGAAAAAGAGAAUGAAAAAAAGUGAAACACAACGGCGAUGGGGUUCCGACGUUGUGAAAGGGGAGAGAGAAAGAGAGAGAGAGGAGAUAAGCCCAGGGGUACCGACCCAAAAGUUUAUCUCUCCUUCCUCUCUCUCUCAAGAUAUGACCCAAAAUGAAAAAAGCGGAUGGGCUGUAGGCGGAGGAUGGAAGAGAAUAGCGGUGAAAGAAUUGCAAGAAUGGAGUAUGGCAGUAAUUGGGGAGGAGAGUGGGAGAGCUUGGGUUAAGAGAAGAUGGAAAGGCUACGUGAAUAGGUGGGUGGUUAUGGUGGUGAAAGAUGGUUGAGGGCAGAGAGCUAGAGAGAGAGAGCAGUGGCAGAAGCGGAGACCGUGAUGCUGGCAGCCGAGAGAGAAGGGGCUGAGGUGCAGCUGAGCAAGAGCGAGAAAGGAAUGGUGUAGCAGGGAUUUGCAGCCAGCUCCAGUUGUGACGUGGAGUUCAUGCACAGCGGUGGGUGGUGGCUUGCACACAC